ACCACGAGGCGCUGUCUAC
rnacentral:siRNA from 1 species